AAAAGUGAAUUCAGCAGACCGAAUGCACGGAGGAACUAAGUUGCAUUCAAUCUAAGACAAGUUCCUGACACAAAUUAGUACAAAGAAGGUUGGAAGUGAGGGUUGAGGCUUCUCACUCAUACGUGAUCAUCGAGUGUGAAUCAGAAAUUGUGCUCUUACGUAUCAAAGGCAGACUCGUCUAUCGACGAAUGGAAGCUUUGUUUAGUCGAGAGACCUUGGCUGGGUAUUCAGUAUAUCUUAAAUCUGGAAUGCCAUUAUUUACAUAUCAUAUGAUACAAUGACAUAGAAAUUGCGACUUAUUGACAACAAUGUGAAUUUGUGAAGAAAUAUUUAAAAUUCAAACAACCGCUGGGGGUAAAUAAUUUCUUGUUUUAGCUGUAUAUUAUGUUAUUUCUCUUAUGUAAUGAGUUAACAAUGAAGAUAGAACAGUGAAAACAUUUAUUGGCAUUUCAUUCAUCAGAAACCGAGUUAUGAGCGGGCUUAGUAUUUUCAAUGAAAAAAAGUGAACAAAAUAUAACCAUACUUCAAAUGUCGAUGCUAAAGUC